GAUCAUGGCUCAGGACGAACGCUGGCGGCGCGCCUAACACAUGCAAGUCGAACGAGAGAGAGGGAGCUUGCUUCCUCAAUCGAGUGGCGAACGGGUGAGUAACGCGUGAGGAACCUGCCUCAAAGGGGGGGANAGGGACAACAGUUGGAAACGACUGCUAAUACCGCAUAAGCCCACAGCUCGGCAUCGAGCAGAGGGAAAAGGAGCAAUCCGCUUUGAGAUGGCCUCGCGUCCG
rnacentral:rRNA from 1 species